UCUAUUUUUUGCCAGAGCUCCGGUUUUGCGCUCGCUUCUUCCACAGCAAUGGGCCUCGCAGCGCUGCCACCUACUCUACCUGUGCUCCUGGGCUGGCUAGUACUGAACUGCCUGGCAGAAGCUGCUCCCUGACUCUGCUGUGCUCCGGGCCCGGUGGUUGUUUGCAGGUAGGGACUAGUUCCCAUCCUCGGAAAGGACCUGACGUCACGGUCAUGUGAUCAUACCAUGUGACCGCUCCAUUGCGCAUUAUCCAUUAUUGAGCGGUAGAUUCAAAUAAGCAGAAGCGCUAAUGCAUUGUACCGGCAGGCAGCGAACAUUUCAAAGGACGUGCAGCUUAAUCUCUGGAACUGCCAACUUCUGAUCUGCUGUUGGAUUCCUCACAUCCUGACUCCUUUUGUCGCCAUCAUUUUGUGCAGUUUUCUAUUGUUUUGCCAGGAAUGGAAGUGGUACUCUUUAAAGAAAAACUUUGGUUUUAUUUAUUGUGUCUUAGAUUUGUUGUAUGAUCCUGCUUCAUGUUUUCAUUUAUGUUUUAAUAAAAUUAUAAAUAAAAUUA